UACGGGGGGGGCAAGCGUUGUUCGGAAUUACUGGGCGUAAAGGGCUCGUAGGCGGCCAACUAAGUCAGACGUGAAAUCCCUAGGCUCAACCUAGGAACUGCGUCUGAUACUGGAUGGCUUGAAUCCGGGAGAGGGAUGCAGAAUUCCAGGUGUAGCGGUGAAAUGCGUAGAUAUCGGGAGGAACACCAGUGGCGAAGGCGGCUUCCUGGCCUGUUCUUGACGCUGAGGCGCGAAAGCUAGGGGAGCAAACGGG
rnacentral:rRNA from 1 species